GCAUUAAACACUGCACAUUAAGGCCACACAUGAAGUAGGUCAAGCAUAUGUCAUUACAACCUUCGACAUGGGGGUUUGUAUGAAGGCAUACCCUCUGACCUGAAGAAGAAAGCUGUGAACACAAUUCAUAAUGUAGUCUAUUCUAUAUAAAGACACUUGGUGUCUUAUAUGUCCCAUUUGCU